rnacentral:rRNA from 1 species
UACGUAGGGUGCGAGCGUUGUCCGGAAUUACUGGGCGUAAAGAGCUCGUAGGUGGUUUGUCGCGUUGUCCGUGAAAACUCACAACUCAAUUGUGGGCGUGCGGGCGAUACGGGCAGACUGGAGUACUGCAGGGGAGACUGGAAUUCCUGGUGUAGCGGUGAAAUGCGCAGAUAUCAGGAGGAACACCAGCGGCGAAGGCGGCGCUCUGGGCCGGUACUGACACUGAGGAGCGAAAGCGUGGGUAGCAAACAGG